rnacentral:lncRNA from 1 species
ACCACACCUCGGUUCGCUCUAUUGUGCAUAAUGUUUUAUAAUAAAGUUUAAGUAAUUGUAGAUAAGCUUUUCUCUCUCUUCUCUCUCUAAAUUUUUCAGAGAGAGAAAGCGAUUCUCGGCAAAGGCAAACUCUUUUCUGGCAUCGAUCGAUUUUUUAUCGGUGAUGGCUGGCUCUCUUCCAGCAUCAGCCGGCUUCUUUAGCGGCGGUGGCUGGCUCCUUUCCAGCAUCAACUGGCUUUUCUAGCGGUGGUGGCUGGCUCCUUUCCAGCAUCGACUGGCUUAUGUAGCGGCGUUGGCUGGCUUUUGGUUAUUCCGGCGUAGUCCGGCGUCAUAUCAUGGUUACUUUUAAUAUCGUCGUUUGUUUUUUUCAAUAAUCUCAUUGGUUAUGUGUUGGUGGAGGCGUUUUAGGCGAUUACUCGUUUAAAAGUGUUUCUUUUCUGACUCUUUCCUUUGAGGAAGCGGUUUACAAAACUCAUCUGAGUUUGGUAACUAAAGUUGAAGAAAAAAAGAAUUUUCCGUCGCUUAUUUUAAAUUGCCUUUAGCUGUUAAUUUCUUUGUUUGGAGCUUCGAUUAGUUUAACAAACAGUUGUGGAGUAAUCAGAUUUAUUCUUCUCUUUUACCCGUUUUCGUCGGAUCUCAAUUAACUUUUGAGGUUUUUGGCAAACGGAGAAGUUUAAUAGAUCUGUAUUAUAUCCUUUAGAUCUGUUCUUGUAGUUAACGGUGAAGAAACAAAAGAAUCAAGGUUCGAUAUUCUCGACAGAUGAUUUCUUUUCACCGGAAUCAAUAGCUCAUACGGCGGAGGUUGUUGUCGGAAAGCUUAAGAUUUUUCGUCCAACACGUGUAUUUGCAACACCAGCUGACGACACGUGUCUCUGGAUGGAAUCACGAUAUCCCAUCUUCUUCCUUAGGCGGUGCCCUUGUUUGGACUCGUUUGGGCUUCAAGUAAUAUAUGUAAACCUUCUUUGUUUGUAAGGCCUUUUGUUAAGUUGGCCCUUGUAUGGUAUGGUACAAUAAAUAAAAUGAGCAACACUUAUGAGAAAAAAAAAAAAAAAGUAAUUGUAGAUAACAAAUAUCGGUUCCUCACACGUCGCUGAGCUUUGUCCAAAACUAGAAAGCAUGUUCAGAUACUCAAUGCCACUUUUCGUGUUGGGCAAUUCUUAUUUUUGUAACUGAGUUUUCACUUGAAGCCCUUUUUAAUAUAUG